UACGUAGGGUGCAAGCGUUAAUCGGAGUUACUGGGCGUAAAGGGUGUGUAGGCGGUUGCUUAAGUUUGGUGUGAAAUCUCCCGGCUUAACCGGGAGGGUGCGCCGAAUACUGAGUGACUAGAGUGCGGGAGAGGAGAGUGGAAUUCCUGGUGUAGCGGUGAAAUGCGUAGAUAUCAGGAGGAACACCGAUGGCGAAGGCAGCCCCCUGGGCUAACACUGACGCUCAUGCACGAAAGCGUGGGGAGCAAACAGG
rnacentral:rRNA from 1 species